GGCAGUUGAUUGUGUUGUCUUGGG
rnacentral:siRNA from 1 species